rnacentral:snoRNA from 1 species
AAAUGGGCCUAAUUCUUCCACAUAUAUCAUAUGGAGGUAACAAAGACUUGUGAGAAAGAGAUCUCUCUCAAGCCCUUCCUGCACCAGAGGUGGGCUCCCACGUGU